UGUCUGGCAACUCCUAUCCCUACCUCCUCGUGGUACCGGCCUGAAACUAUGAGCAACCUUAGGGAAGCCAAGGGGUAACCAACCCCGGUGGGAACUUUGGUCGUAGGCUGACAGGGAAUG
rnacentral:ribozyme from 1 species